rnacentral:rRNA from 1 species
UACGUAGGGUGCAAGCGUUGUCCGGAAUUAUUGGGCGUAAAGAGCUCGUAGGCGGUUUGUCGCGUCUGCCGUGAAAGUCCGGGGCUCAACUCCGGAUCUGCGGUGGGUACGGGCAGACUAGAGUGAUGUAGGGGAGACUGGGAUUCCUGGUGUAGCGGUGAAAUGCGCAGAUAUCAGGAGGAACACCGAUGGCGAAGGCAGGUCUCUGGGCAUUAACUGACGCUGAGGAGCGAAAGCAUGGGGAGCGAACAGG